rfam:Salmo salar isolate Sally breed double haploid chromosome ssa14, whole genome shotgun sequence.
UGUAUUCACUACUGUAAGUCGCUCUGGAUAAGAGCAUCUGCUAAAUGACUAAAU